rfam:Smithella sp. SDB scaffold-1625, whole genome shotgun sequence.
GGAAUCGUGAGAGACCGUCCGAUGGAAGCCGGAGUGCAAAACGAUGAGCCAAGCCUGUCCCGGACUUGAUCCGGGAAACAGAAACAGCAUACAAGGUUGAGUCUCCGGGCAAGUCAGCACGUGUGCCCUUCAGGGUGCAACAUGACAAAGUCCCGGAUUCAGGAGACAGGGUAAAUGCUGCGGUUGCAUCGGGAAAGUUCACGUU